UUGAUCGAAACCAAAAAGAGGUAUAUUAUUGUUAAUAAUAAAACUGAAUUAAAAACAUUCCGUUCAAG
rnacentral:tRNA from 1 species